AGAGUUUGAUCAUGGCUCAGAUUGAACGCUGGCGGCAGGCCUAACACAUGCAAGUCGAGCGGUAGCACAGAGAGCUUGCUCUCGGGUGACGAGCGGCGGACGGGUGAGUAAUGUCUGGGAAACUGCCUGAUGGAGGGGGAUAACUACUGGAAACGGUAGCUAAUACCGCAUAACGUCGCAAGACCAAAGUGGGGGACCUUCGGGCCUCAUGCCAUCAGAUGUGCCCAGAUGGGAUUAGCUAGUAGGUGGGGUAACGGCUCACCUAGGCGACGAUCCCUAGCUGGUCUGAGAGGAUGACCAGCCACACUGGAACUGAGACACGGUCCAGACUCCUACGGGAGGCAGCAGUGGGGAAUAUUGCACAAUGGGCGCAAGCCUGAUGCAGCCAUGCCGCGUGUGUGAAGAAGGCCUUCGGGUUGUAAAGCACUUUCAGCGGGGAGGAAGGCGAUAAGGUUAAUAACCUUGGCGAUUGACGUUACCCGCAGAAGAAGCACCGGCUAACUCCGUGCCAGCAGCCGCGGUAAUACGGAGGGUGCAAGCGUUAAUCGGAAUUACUGGGCGUAAAGCGCACGCAGGCGGUCUGUCAAGUCGGAUGUGAAAUCCCCGGGCUCAACCUGGGAACUGCAUUCGAAACUGGCAGGCUAGAGUCUUGUAGAGGGGGGUAGAAUUCCAGGUGUAGCGGUGAAAUGCGUAGAGAUCUGGAGGAAUACCGGUGGCGAAGGCGGCCCCCUGGACAAAGACUGACGCUCAGGUGCGAAAGCGUGGGGAGCAAACAGGAUUAGAUACCCUGGUAGUCCACGCCGUAAACGAUGUCGAUUUGGAGGUUGUGCCCUUGAGGCGUGGCUUCCGGAGCUAACGCGUUAAAUCGACCGCCUGGGGAGUACGGCCGCAAGGUUAAAACUCAAAUGAAUUGACGGGGGCCCGCACAAGCGGUGGAGCAUGUGGUUUAAUUCGAUGCAACGCGAAGAACCUUACCUGGUCUUGACAUCCACAGAACUUUCCAGAGAUGGAUUGGUGCCUUCGGGAACUGUGAGACAGGUGCUGCAUGGCUGUCGUCAGCUCGUGUUGUGAAAUGUUGGGUUAAGUCCCGCAACGAGCGCAACCCUUAUCCUUUGUUGCCAGCGGUUAGGCCGGGAACUCAAAGGAGACUGCCAGUGAUAAACUGGAGGAAGGUGGGGAUGACGUCAAGUCAUCAUGGCCCUUACGACCAGGGCUACACACGUGCUACAAUGGCAUAUACAAAGAGAAGCGACCUCGCGAGAGCAAGCGGACCUCAUAAAGUAUGUCGUAGUCCGGAUUGGAGUCUGCAACUCGACUCCAUGAAGUCGGAAUCGCUAGUAAUCGUAGAUCAGAAUGCUACGGUGAAUACGUUCCCGGGCCUUGUACACACCGCCCGUCACACCAUGGGAGUGGGUUGCAAAAGAAGUAGGUAGCUUAACCUUCGGGAGGGCGCUUACCACUUUGUGAUUCAUGACUGGGGUGAAGUCGUAACAAGGUAACCGUAGGGGAACCUGCGGUUGGAUCACCU
rnacentral:rRNA from 2 species